UCGUUUAUUUGAUAGUACCUUACUACUUGGAUAACCGUGGUAAUUCUAGAGCUAAUACAUGCUAAAAAUCCCGACUUCGGAAGGGAUGUAUUUAUUAGAUUAAAAACCAAUGCCCUUUGGGCUCACUGGUGAUUCAUGAUAACUUCUCGAAUCGCAUGGCCUUGCGCCGGCGAUGGUUCAUUCAAAUUUCUGCCCUAUCAACUUUCGACGGCUGGGUCUUGGCCAGCCAUGGUGACAACGGGUAACGGAGGGUUAGGGCUCGACCCCGGAGAAGGAGCCUGAGAAACGGCUACUACAUCCAAGGAAGGCAGCAGGCGCGCAAAUUACCCAAUCCCGACACGGGGAGGUAGUGACAAUACAUACUGAUACAGGGCUCUUUUGGGUCUUGUAAUUGGAAUGAGUACAAUUUAAAUCCCUUAACGAGGAACAAUUGGAGGGCAAGUCUGGUGCCAGCAGCCGCGGUAAUUCCAGCUCCAAUAGCGUAUAUUAAAGUUGUUGCGGUUAAAAAGCUCGUAGUUGAACCUUGGGCCUGGCUGGCCGGUCCGCCUCACCGCGUGCACUGGUACGGUCGGGCCUUUCCCUCUGGGGAACCGCAUGCCCUUCACUGGGUGUGUCGGGGAACCAGGACUUUUACUUUGAAAAAAUUAGAGUGUUCAAAGCAGGCUUAUGCUCGGAUACAUUAGCAUGGAAUAAUAGAAUAGGACGUGCGGUUCUAUUUUGUUGGUUUCUAGGACCGCCGUAAUGAUUAAUAGGGACAGUCGGGGGCAUCAGUAUUCAAUUGUCAGAGGUGAAAUUCUUGGAUUUAUUGAAGACUAACU
rnacentral:rRNA from 1 species